rnacentral:rRNA from 1 species
UACGUAGGGUGCAAGCGUUGUCCGGAAUUAUUGGGCGUAAAGAGCUCGUAGGCGGUUUGUCGCGUCUGCUGUGAAAACUCGGGGCUUAACCCCGGGUCUGCAGUGGAUACGGGCAGGCUAGAGGUAGGUAGGGGAGAAUGGAAUUCCCGGUGUAGCGGUGAAAUGCGCAGAUAUCGGGAGGAACACCGGUGGCGAAGGCGGUUCUCUGGGCCUUACCUGACGCUGAGGAGCGAAAGCGUGGGGAGCGAACAGG